rnacentral:rRNA from 1 species
UACGGGAGGCAGCAGUGGGGAAUCUUGCGCAAUGGGCGAAAGCCUGACGCAGCCAUGCCGCGUGAAUGAUGAAGGUCUUAGGAUUGUAAAAUUCUUUCACCGGGGACGAUAAUGACGGUACCCGGAGA